rnacentral:pre_miRNA from 1 species
AAAAUUAUGUUUUCAAGCGAGCAAAAAUCAUUGUUGAUUUUGAAAAAGGUUUUAAGGUUACCGGUUCUGUUUGUUUGUUAUCCUUUUAAGAUCAACAACGAUUUUUGGGUCGUUUAAAAGUAUAAUUUU